rnacentral:rRNA from 1 species
UAGAGUGUUCAAAGCAGGCGUAACUCGCCUCCGAAUACGUUAGCAUGGGAUAAUGGAAUACGACUUCGGUCUUGUUUCGUUGGUUUCGCUUGGCUGAAGUAAUGAUUGAUAGGGACAGUUGGGGGCAUUAGUAUUUAGUUGUCAGAGGUGAAAUUCUAGGAUUUACUAAAGACUGACCAAUGCGAAAGCAUUUGCCAAGGAUGUUUUCAUUAAUCAAGAACGAAAGUAGGGGGAUCGAAGACGAUCAGAUACCGU